UACGUAGGGCGCAAGCGUUGUUCGGAUUCAUUGGGCGUAAAGGGUGCGUAGGCGGCGCGGUAAGUCGGGUGUGAAAUCUCGGAGCUUAACUCCGAAACUGCAUUCGAUACUGCCGUGCUUGAGGACUGGAGAGGAGACUGGAAUUUACGGUGUAGCGGUGAAAUGCGCAGAUAUCGUAAGGAAGACCAGUGGCGAAGGCGGGUCUCUGGACAGUUCCUGACGCUGAGGCACGAAGGUCAGGGGAGCAAACGGG
rnacentral:rRNA from 1 species